UAAGCAUUCCUUCAUAGUCAUCAACUCUUGGGUGACUGAUGCGAGAAGCAGCUGGUUCAUAAUCAGCCUACAGUAUUACUUAACGCCAUUCACAGCAACUUUGUUUAAAAUGUCUUAUGUAAGCGAAAGGCUCAAAUUACUGCACAUUGCCAUUCCAAUAAACGCAGUGCACCUUCACGAGCCACUCUUCCCUGGACUGCAACAACUUAAGGGCGCUCCGUGAUGGUAGCCACGAGCGAGGGCCUGGGUGCGCGUGAGCAGGAGAGACAGGCGGUCGUCCCUCAUCUCCUCCAGGGUACCCAGGAGACCGGCGCGGAAGAACACCUGGGAGACACGGCAUUGGUGAGUUGGUGAGUAUCGGCCUGAACGGCAAAACUGAAAAUAUGCUGGAGAAUACGAUUGUCUAACCAGGAAUGCUUCAUUGAGCCUGAUAAAUCUCCAUUUCAGGAGGUUUCUUGCUAUAAUUUUUCUUUUGCAGUAAGAGGGGGGAGGCGGUGAUAGCUGUGUGGUUUUCCAAUGUUAGUGAUUCAUGUUUGUGACCAAGUAAUUUUUGUUAUAUCUUGCAAUCGUUCUAAUUUAUGAGAGCUUCACUGUGACCUAUUGGCCAUCUGUAAAAAAGAGCUAUAUAGCUCAUCGGAUUCCUGCAGUAUAAAUUAAUAUUCUGAUUCUAUACACCCUAAAAGAACCCUGGGAUUAUAUUCACAACCGGAUUAGAGUAUAAUCUACAUGAGACACACAACGGCAGAAACUACACAAGGAUUGGCCUUGCAUACCUUGGUGUGUCCGAACUUGUACUGAGUGUCAUCGAGCUCCAGGGAGGCCAUGAGUUUCUCGCAGGCCUUCUUGCUGUCCAUGAACUGCCCCUCCGGAAUGGCAUUGGGGUUCAGCACGCGGUACCUACGAGGCACGAGAGAGCACGCGAGGUCACGUGUGACGCUAACGAUCGCGGUUUGCAUGGCACAGACUUUAACGACAGACUGCUGGAGGUGACUGGGUGUUUCGGAGGUUGUAGUUGUAGCGCUCGGAUCCUGGCUGAUGUAGAUGCAGAGCAACAACUUACAGAUUCUAAUCGAGUGAGUCAGCCAUGAUUAUACGGGGUUCUCAGGUGUAGUGAGAUGCAGCCUGUCAUUAACGACUGCAGUAAAACCUCUUGAAACCAGAAUACAUUGGAGAAGAGAUGUUCUGCUGAUGGGGGGUGGUCUAUGAUUCUGCAAGUGAUUACAUGUUAACAAAAUGAAUCUGUUGGAAUUAGCUUUGAAUAUCAUUGGCACAGUGACUAUGAAACAACACCACGUACUGCAAAUGUACAAUGGGGUUCUCUAUCUUAUGACAUGAUGCUGACAGCACAUUCGUGAUAAGUGGGUAAAAAUAAUAAUAAAUAAUUUAUUGAAAAUAAAUAAUAGUAGACUGCUGGGCCUUCAAUAGCUUCAGUCGUGUACAAAAGCGACCGUUUCUAAUGGAGGAUAUGAGUGGACUUCUAUCAGUUUCACCUUAAUUGCAGCCUCUCCUUCAGGUAUGCCGUGGCUUUAGCUCCAUCGUAGUUUGCCAGUGACAAUAACGGUGACAAUAUCUAGAGGGGCCUUUACGUAUUGUGACCUUCGUAUCGCCAAAGGCUACGGCGGUCGAGUUUACAACGACGUCACACGUCUAUCUGCACUCACCGCUGCUUGAAGUCACCGUAGACGAUCCUGUUGGGGAAGCCCUUCCUGCAGAUCCUGAUGCCCUCCAGCACGCCGUUACAACGCAGCUGGUGCAUCACGAGGUUGUUGUCCAUGGUACCUGGAGAUGGAACGCAUGACAGGUCAAUAACCCUCACCGGGGAUGCAGCCACACAUCGGUAGUUGGAGACAGCUUACCCCAGCGGUUGCUCCCCCGUUGGUUACCGGUGACAUUACAGACUCAAUCUCUCCGGCGGCGGCACGUCCCAGCGGCAGCGAGUUCGCCGCUUGCUGCAGAGACUCGGUGGAUCGGAUCCGGCAGGCCGCCCUGCUUAAUGCCGCGGGUGUAUUUGCUAUAAUGUCCGUGCCAUCUGGUUCACAGCAGACGUGAAGGAUGCCUGAUGUCAUUGGAAGGAGAGUAGGUUUUCGUGUGCCGACGUUUUGGUCUAAAAUUUCCCCCGCAGUGUGCAUGUCGGGUCUCUACAGAUAUGAGGUUUCACAGAGGCAGGUUUGGAUUCGGUGAGUCUUGGUGGCUGUACUGAUGAGUCCUAAUAAUAACGAAACCGGUCUGCAGCUGCAUUUGUCUCACCGCUGCCUGUUGGUGAGUCACAUUUGCUAAAUUUACCGAUGGUGACUUUAGACCAAAUGACCACAAUGCAAUUCCUAAGGCACAAGUGCUUUUGCAUAAUACUUGAAAGGUACUUUUGUUAUACACAAAGUGCAUGUGUUUGUGCGUUGUUGAAACCUUUAGUUUUCCGGACUGCGCUUUUUCUGUUGUUAUGGGUUUUCCCGUCAUUUACAGAUUUGAAUAUAUUUUUUGGCCAAAACCUUUUUAAUACAUACGUUUAACCAAACUAAACGGCUGUACCACAAUUAUAUUGAAUCUAUGCAACAGCACUAAACUGACUGUCAGUUCUGUCAUCAGGAUAAUCAGUCAGCAUGUGUCCCCUUGUUGAAGGAAAAAUCCAGACAAAAAAAAUACCAUUAGUUUUGUCAAAAAAUUGUCGGUGUUUCUUAGCCAAAAUCUGAAACGUGUUGUGGGUGCUGCGGCUCAACCCACGACACUCACAGCAGUAGCUGUGUGCCCUUGCCUGCUUGAUUAAGGGACAUGUGUGACAAAGAGCUUUACAGCUCAUCGGAUUCCCCAAGUCUAAACUAAGAUUCUGAUUCUGCGUCCCACACGCAUGCUCCUGGCCACAUCUGCACUACACAAACCACAGGCGGCACUGUUGUAAACCCCUGUACAGUGAAAGCGAAGGGAGAACCCCAACAUGUGGUCAAUAAUAUCCGUUCUUUUUCUAAUGUUAUGGACAACAUCAGAAUACCUCAAGUGAAAAUGCUGCAUGGGUUAUUUAAAUAUUGAGUUUUCCUUUGCUGCUUGUACCGAUUCAAAAAUGCAUUUUAAGCAUUGCUGCGUGUAGGAAUUGUCAGCGUGGGCAUUGCAAAACAAACCGGGGGUCUUGGUCUCAUUGGGGAUGAUGCAACGCACAAAGUGGGGGUGAGUUGUCUUCAGGUUGGUCAUCAGCUUGUUCAGAUUCUCCUGCGAACGACAAAUAACGAACGGAUGCAAAUUUAAUAUUUCUCCCGGCAAGACGAAUGCAGCGUCCAGUCGGCGGCAAUACCCGCGCAGGUUUUUGUAAAAAGCUGACGUGGAGCCAACGUGAAGUGUCAUAGGUCCGUGUCGCUUUACCCUGUGGAGGGCAGACACGGUCUGGAAGGAGGAGCCCUUCUUCUUUUUACCACCCUUACUGCCGCUGUCUACACAAACGAGCGACGGAAACAGAACGGGGAGGGGUGGGGGGGUAAACGCGUUGAGCUUAACGUGCUCCAAAAAAACACCACGCGUUUGUCCAGAGGCGAAGCUCGAUGUGAUUCCGUAUGAAAGAAAUGCGUUUUGCGUGUUCACCGUGAAGGGUCAUAACAACUGUAAUGUACGUUUUUAGGAAACACGCUGUGAAAAUGAUUUCUUUUUUAACUAAUUCCAUGGACCGGAAAUAUAGCUUAUCACCACUUCCAAAAGCAUACCGAAUCAAAGCAAACCUGUAACCAAAUCACCCAAAAUAUGCCUGAUCUCAUCAGACCUUGCAAGCUAAGCAGAUGUAAGUCUGGACUAGUGCUUGGAGGGGUGACCACCCUGCACAAAGCUGCCAUUGCGGGCUGCUGCAAGGCGACAUCGUCGUCAGGAGGCACUGCAGCAAAAUCCGCUGGUGCUCUUCAGCACAGAUGCUCCCAGCAUCUGUGCUGAAGUAUGGUCAAAUAAACCCCAAGACCUGCGGGGGGGGGUGAGGAGGCCGUCGUCCAGCAGUGGAUUGACAAAAAAGGGGGCUUCGAAUGAAAGCAUGAGAUUUUUUUUUUAAAUGAUGUUGUAAAGUGGCUCUUUAAGAAUACGGGCAGUGGACAAUGUCUUACAAUUAGGCAUUACAAAAAAAUGCACCUACAGAAAUGUUUAGAACCUCUAAGACAUUCAUGUAUCUACUUCGCAUGUGAAAUCCUUACCGCUAUCAGCACCAGCAUAGGUCGCGUAAACAGCUGCCAGCAUCUUCAACGAUGACUUCUGGUAGAGCUGCACCACAGAGUCGUUCAGUGGAUCCUUGUUCUUCUCCAGCCAGCCAGAGAUGUUGUAGUCCACGUUGCCGGCGUAGUGGCCGAGGGAGAAGUGAGCCUCGUGUUUCCCCUUCGACGGCUUGGGCUUCUGGAAGAAUUGGUUCUUGCCGAGGUGCUGGUCGUACAGCUUCUCCUUGAAGGUCUGAUCGUUGGCUUUGGGGAACAUGCACUGCUCCUCGAGGAUGGACAUGAUGCCCAUGGGCUGAAACAAUACGAUGAGAAUUUUAAGUAUCGUCACAUGUACAGGCUUUGUCACGCAAUGGGCGUGAAAAUUAAGAGGAUCGGCAACAGAGACCAGAGGUCUGUGAUGGGUGAACGCAACGUAAACGGUAAAGGUGCAUCGCUGCAAUUUGCUCACGUGACUGCUGUCAGAAAUGGCUCCACUGGAGGAGCUCUAGAAUACUUCUCUCUGUGAUAUUUUAUCCAAUUCUUCCACACUGUCCACAUCGACAUCUUGGAAGGGGUGGAAGCCACCCACGCUUCACCCCACUACAUCGACCUGCCGAACUAAGUGUGGUUGUACCACAUUUAUACUGCUGGGUGGACAGUGGCAGGACGAUGUAAACAAAAAAAUGUGCCCAUUGUGUCAACUGCCUUGCCGGAAGUUCAAAUCGAGCUGCCAAAUCUCUAGGUUGCCAGUGUCCAGUGUGCUCACAAUUAUAAAACGGCACCAUCCCAGUGUGCCAGACUGCACAUGAUACCUCGGUGUCCGCCAACCGUGGCUAUAACAAACGAAGUGUCUCUCUUUUGAAUUUCAGCACAGCACUGACCGUUGCAAAACACUAAAACGCCAUGGCAUUCAGGGCUCGAACCUUCUCGAUGAGGUCGAUGCAAGCCUGCAGGUCCAUGCCGAAGUCGAUGAAGACCCAGUCGAUGCCCUCCUUCUUGUACUCCUCUUGCUCCAGCACGAACAUGUGGUGGUUGAAGAACUGCUGCAGCUUCUCGUUGGUGAAGUUGAUGCACAGCUGCUCGAAGGUGUUGAACUGUGUUGAGAGGACAGAGAGGCGUUUGGCACGCAGAGCAAUAUGGUUUAUCUUCUUUGUAGUUUUUUGUAUUAAUCCAAUUAUGCUAAGCGCUCGAGAGAGCGAUUUCAAUUCCAUAUUUCACCAGACGCGGAUUAAAAACGUCACACUGUACGUGCGGGGUUAAAAAUGCAGACCGCACUCACGUCGAAAAUUUCGAAGCCGGCAAUGUCCAGCACACCGAUGAAGUGUUGCCUCGCGAGUUUGGUGGCAAGGGUCUCGUUGAUGCGGAUGACCAUCCAGAGGAACAUCUUCUCAAACACGGAUCUCGCCAGGGCACCCACUGAGUUGUGCACCUGCGCAGAGGAGGAAAGUUUUCCGUCAACGAGCAAAAUUGCCUUCAACUUUUUUUUUAUCUUUGACUCUUUUUUGUCCCGUCCGUGAAAGAUUCAACGAGUCUCACGAGGGUUUUUGGCAAUUUAUGUUUUAUCGUCACACAUGCAGUAAUUUGAAGUAGCUACAACUAUAUUUUUUUACAAAAGUGUAUAUAUUUCAGGUAACCUCCGUGCAUCUAUCAACCCUGUAUCUGCUUGGAUAGAUACUUCAGAUAACCUCUAUCAACCCUGCCUCCAAAGCGGUGGCUUACAAGUGUGCAGUACGAAACCAGUCACUAAUAAUAUUAAUAAUGCAACUACAUCAAGUAGGACAUAAAACUGAUACACCGCAAAAUAUAGCUUAAUUCACAAGUCCAUAAUCAGUGACGCUUCAUACUUAGGGGCUGGUGAGGCUAUGCCCCACGAGUGAAGCAAGGUUGAAACCCUAAUAAUACUUAGCUGCUAAUAACGAUAAAGAUUUUAACCUACAUACACCCUCCCACUCCACUCGCCAUUUCCCCCCAUCCCCAAGAGGCUUUUUGUGCCCACACCAAUAUGUCUAGCCACCGCUGCCCGGAAUAGGACGGCGUAUAAUGUCACACAGUACCUGCUGGACAGUUUGACCUUUGGUCACGUAUUCGUUGCCGACUUUGACUCUGGGGUAGCAGAGGCCUUUGAGGAGAUCUGCGGAGUUGAGGCCCAUGAGAUAGGCCGCUUUGUCAGCAUCUGAAACAACAACAACAACAACACGUGGAUCAAUGCCUUUGCGUUAAAAAAAGAAAAUUGUUGAUUUGUGUUCAUACAGUGGCUAAAUUUAAGCCUACCUUAAUAUUCCACAACCAGGUGCUGAGCUUCACGUGAUUAUUUGCAGGAUUAUGACAUAUAUGAGGGAUGCUUUGUAAUAUAUAUCCAAAAUGAUUUAGUAAAUAGGGGAGAAAUAACUAAAGGAAUAAUGCUGUACAGACGAGUAUUACUUCGCUUGUUUACCCGAGAAAGCCUCACUGAGUCUCAAAACUCUUUUUCAGAAUUUUCCUGCCAAGUUUUCAGAGUAGGGGGCGAUGUUGAUACGCGUAAUCCAAAUUAAGUGAUUAUUUUAGCAUCGAGAUAUUUUGGGCUAAUAUCAGUUAUAUUGUGUGUGUAUUUUUUUUUAGCUAUGGGAGGAAACGGGAGAACGUGGAGGAAUUCCAUUCAGCAGUGGGGGAGAGAGAACAUACAAACUCCACACAGAAAGGUGUCAGGGAAUCGAACCCAGAUGCAGAGCAGCGACUACAAGUUCAGAUUCAGGUGGUCAAGCCCAGCUAACCGCAUCAGGAGCAGUGGCGGAGGAGUGAAUUAUCGCUGUGGUGUCUCCUCCGUGUUUGUGGAUCGGACGUUGCACCGUUCUACGCUGCACGGUCUCCGCUGUGGAUGACCACAGUCGCACGCUACUACUGGAGAGUUUUUAAUUCUCCAUUCGUGCAUCACGUAUCCAAAUUAUAUGCAAUUAGGGGACAGGAAGACAGAGCCGGUGGUAAUUGGGGGAGAAAUGGAAAUUGUAAUUUCUGGACUUGGAAGUUCGCUGUACCCUCA